GUCAGCUCUUGUGAGUGCGCUUACAUAAACUUUAAACUUUUGCAUAAACAUUUUUCGGUUACUCGUGCUAAUCUCUUCAAAGUGAAAGCUGAGAAAUGGCCGAUUGCUUUUUCCACCUCUCACUCAUCAGCAUCACGGAAAGACAAGAAAAAAAGGUAGAAGGAUAGAGGGAAGUAGCGGUCCCAAGAGGUGUAUUAGGCGUUUGGAUGACUCGACUCGACACGUCGACAUACUCUUUCGACAUCGUCGUUUUCUUGCCUGUGAUCUGCAACGUAUAUUUCACCUACUAAAACACGAUUACUGAACAUCCCCUGCCCCUGCAUUCAAGGAUAAUGGAGUUUGAUUGCAGAAGACUACCCUUAGUCUCACUGGAGCUGUUCCAGGAAAGUUCUGAAUUUUUCCCAUAUAGUCACACUCAAGAUCCAGUAGACACAGGUUAACUCUAAAAUCCUAGAAAUUAAAAGAUUCACCGACAUGUUAAGUAUAAGUAGUUUUCAAAUGGAACAUGUAUACUCCGUGGAGACCCCUUUUUAUGCGUUGUAUUCAGGAAAAAUACUUGACAAAAUCAAGAAAAAUAUUGGCUGAAAUAGGACCUUGUCGUGUUUGGAUUGAUUUUCCUCCAGUUUCAAAGGAUUUUUCCUAGAUUCAAUCCUCGUUUUUGCCAACUUUUAAGAAGAUUUGUAACUCUUCAGGAAAAAGGAUCUGAGUCCACAAGAAAGUGUUCUACAGAAGCAGUUUGAAGGAAAAAAUGUCACAUCAAGCUAGAGUUACGAUGGCUCGAAGUAUGCAGUUCGAAGAAAAGACCUCAAAAAAAAGCUACUCGAAAUUCUAAUUUGCCAUUUUCAGAACACAAAGUUGUUGUGGACCUUCAAGCCCUCUAUCCGCUCAAAAAUGAAUUGAGCCUUUAAUCCAUGAAUUGCAGCUUAUUGGUUAAAUAGUGUAUAGUGCACAGGAAAAGAAAUGCUGCGCACUGAUGGAACAUUAAAGUAAGUGACAACGUCUACUUUGAUAGAGAUUGUUUAUCCGAAGUCAGUUCUUGAUUUACUGUGCUCAACAAUCACCUCAAUCAAUGCAAUGUCUAGUUUUCGUCUUCGAACAUCAUUUCAGUGUCAGCUGAUCGGUAAUGUGAGCAGUUUCACUGCCAUUAUUAGGUUCUCACCCAUGUAUUCCAUAGACAAAGGCUGUAAAUUUUGAAAUAUUUCGGGAACUUGUGGGGGGAGGGGGGGGGGCUAGUAUAUGAUUUACAUUGUAUUAGUUAUUGAUAUCUGCUUCUUUUCUGUGGCCAUAAUGUUGUCAUGGCAGUCAUUGAACUAUAAUACUUCACUAUCUUAUCAUUCUUUUUUGUAAGUUGUAUUGCGUCUCAGGCUGAGGGAGAAAUCCAGUCUUACAAUUUUUUGAUUUGGUAUUUUCCUCCUGAAUGGUACAUCAUUUGAAUGUAUAUAGGACAUAACUGUAAACCACAGGUUACCAUCUAAUACUUUUUAAAAUGGUUGUACUUAGUGAAAUUUCCAAAUAGGUAUAAAAUAUGAAUUUUAACAGACAAUUUUGAUCACCCAGUUUCAAUUUAUCUGGAUCUGAACUUUCAUGAAAACUGAAUCGGCUUAUAUGUAUCAAUGGAAACAGAGACAGAUCGAAAACAUAGCUCUGCAGCUUAUAAGGACGGAUUUUCAAGGUGUGGAUUGGACGAAAAAGUAGACUGUAAAAUAAGGAAGGAAGAGGGAGGGAGAAGUCAGUUAUUCAAACUCGGUGACUUCGUAGUCACCUUUAGUUGAGGGCUCCUUUAAUGCAGCUCUCCAGAACUUAAACAUGGUCAACAUAAAUCUGCUGCUUAAAAAAAAAAAAAAAAAUCAUUGUAGGAAAGUUUCCUCACAAAGUCUUGCCUUGUUUUUAGUCGUACGGUAUUCGGCCUCGCAGUGGCAUCUUUCCGCGCACACAGGAAAAAGCCCGCGGAUUCCGGGGUUUCGACCUUAGCAGGAGACAAUGGCUGAUCAACUAUAAACAUCAGCUUAGUGAACCCAGCGACUUGGCACCAACGCUGGGUUCACUGAGCUGGUUUACGGCCACCUGCUUGCGAUGUUGUUUUGCCUUGCACUAACAUAAAAGCAUUCACUUAUAUUGAUAAUUAAAUCGGAAAGAUGGACAGAUUAAUGAGAGUCUUUUUUUAUUUGGUUACUUUUCGCAUUUCUGUACCUAACAACUUAAAUUUACACCAACAGUGCGAUUCCGCACUUUAACUUAUGCUAAUGAUUAAUUAUUUUGGCGGCAUAUUUACAAUUCAUUUAUUUUUCAUAUCAUCACUAUAAAUCUUCACUAUUAACAUCUAACAUUAUUGUUAACAUUUCUAUAUUCUAAAAUAACACUUGUCUGCAAAUUAAAUGGUUAAUUUGGCUGCAGUUUCAAUUCUGGACGGUAAAUCUGGUUGUUCUUGAUUCCUAAAUUUUCUGAUUAAAGGUAACACAUUUACUAUUAAUCGUUGCCAUAAAGCAUCUAUCAACAUCUAACAUUAUUGUUAAAAUUGCUAUAUUCUAAAAUUCUUGGCAUGAAAUCUUGCUACAUUUACAUUACAUUCAUAAUUACAUACCGGGGUCCUAUGAUUGUUCAGCCCCUCUCCUUCGCCGGACCUGGCCACGGUUCGUUUGAGUAAAAGCCAAACGAAAUUCUCCAUCACUCACAAAGUCCUUUCGAAUCCGAAAAAUAGAGUGAAAAUGGAGCCCCUCCAGCUAUAAAUGAAAAUAGGUUGUUUGAGCUCCUGGAGCAACAUAUCGCUUCCUGCACUUUUUGAGGCUUAGCAGAGGCUGAUACGAAAAUUGACUCAAAGUUUCUGUCCCAAUCCCCAAACCAAGACAGCCAUCGAAAUGAUCCUGGUCUCAUUUCAAAACCGGUGCAUCUUACCGUCGAUUGAGUGGUCUGCAAGCCAAUUCAGUAAAAAAUUGACCAAGUUAUGAUAGUUUGAAUGAAGGGCACUCAAAAUAAGCUUUCUCGUCCUCCUAUCCGAGCAAGGCUCCAUUUUUUCUUCAUUUCCCUUUAAGACUAAUAACACUGGAGUCAAUCUGUAAAAAUUUCAGUAUUUGUACUUCAUUCAACUUUUACUCAAACGAACCGCGCGGCGCGAUCCAGAA